UUUUUAUCCAACUGCUAUGUUUUUUACAUUUUUUCUAAUACUCAGGAGUGCUCUAGUGGUUUAUAAAUAUAGGUACUUUAAUUGAAUACGAAAAUAUACCGAUUAACAGUAAUAUUCAAAACUUCUGUUUUUGUAUAUCAUUGAGCUUGUGUUAACUAGAGUACAUAUUUUACAAAUGUUAAAUUUAUGUUUAUUUUCCAAACCUGUUGUCUAAAAUUUUAACUAUAAUGAGAAGUUUUCGAAGUAUAUGAUACUUGCUUUUUUAAUAAAAAACAUUUUUUCCAAUUAUAGCAGAAUAAUAAAUGCCUUGGCUUACUUUCUAGACUAUUCUCAAUAAAAUGACUACUUAAUUUAGUUAAACAUAUACAAAAACAUCCGAUAUUUGUUUUCCUAAAUGAAAUACAAAAGUUUUUAAGAUACAACCAUAUGAUACAACAAUGACAAACGUGGGAUUACUUCUAAUAUUAUAAAAUCGUUUUGAUAAUUAAAAUUGUUUUGGCCAUGGCUUCAGCAAUAUAUACUAUGCAUAGUAUGAUACAUAACUUUCACUGUUCGAUAUUUUCUAUAAUCUGAUGCUAUGAUUAUUUUUAGAAAUUAGCGUAAGACUCAUAAGUUGCUUUGCUGUGUAAACUAGCUAUAAAACUAAGAAACUCACGUUUCCUUGGAUCAGUUGAAAGUUCAAUCUUAAUAUAGUUAUAAUACUAUUUAGUAUUUUCCGAUAUUUUUGUAGCUAGCUUCAUUAUUUGUGGUAAGCAUACUAGCAUCAUUUUCAGUAGAUCUAAGUCACG